AAGGGUUCAGAAUGCAAGAGAGAGAGAGAAAUGGAGGAAUCGAUUCGGAGCUUGUGCAAGGGCGUAGCGUCCUUCUGCAACCACCUCCACAGCAGCUGCGACGCCCUCAAAGCUUCUGUCGACCGCCGCCCCAUCCCUCUCGAUACGGCGUUGUCCAACUUCCUCCAAUCCCUCAACCGCCGCAUCUCCGCCGCCAGCACCCAACUCAACCUCCUUGAAACGAUGUCGUUCGGCACCGUCCCCUUCGAGGAGCUCUUGGGACACUGCUGCGAGGUCCAAAGAAAACCAAACCCGCCUCCUCCACCUCCAAUGCCAUCUCUCCCCCUCCACCGUCGCCGAACUUGAGAUUGACGAGGACGACUUUGAGGACGCCGGUUGUUCAAGAGGACGGAUUCUAUGCACCUGUCAUUGAUGAAGAAGGAGAUUUGUAUCCUUAAUAGGAAUUUGUACUUAAAAUUAAAAAAUUGGGAAUUGGAAUUUUGAUUUGUGUUUUCUCAGUGGUGUUUCGAUUACAUUGGACAAGUCUUUGAGUUUGAAGAAGCUCAGGCUUUCGGAUGCGUCUCUUGCCACUUUAGCAUCUAAAGUUCUGUCGCCCACUCUGCUGCAGCUAAUGCUAAAAGUGAGGAACCUGAUAUAGCUAUGCAUGAGUUUUAAGUCCUUUAAGGGGUCGUAUGAUGCUUCCACGAAGACCUCAGGAGCUCCCAGAGAUGGAUUGCUAUCUGAUUUCGGGGAAGUUGAGGAUAAACCAAAGCUAGCUGAAGUUCCUUUGCCUCUUGUAAAGGUAUCCCGGGGAUGACUACGAGAGCCUUCCUUCCUACAUGAAAAGUCUAGCAUCUUGGGAGGUAUGAAGCUGCGUCGUGUUUAUUGUGAUUGCAUUUAUGUUUUCAAAUCUGCAUACACUGUAUUGCAAGGUCAUGCUUUAGUUACCUGCAUCAUGAUUCAUGAUAAUGGGAACGACUCUUAUACCGGCAUUUGGAAUCCCUAUGGUGAUAAAAUAUAGAGAGAAGUAUCUAUUGAAUGGCCGAGAAAUUGACUAUUAUUCUGAUAGAUGUAAGAUGUUGAAUGUUGGAUAGUGAAGUAUCUAUCUAGUGAUAAAGUUUCCAUGCUAAUUGUGCUUGAGUGUUAAAAAUGAUAUCCUAAAGGUUUCCCGUUUUAGCAACCCCAAAGUUAUAGACCACGAGAGAGCUCAGGUUUGUCAUUGUUCAACGUCUGGUCUUGGAACAUUGUUUGAGAAUGCUUCAUAGCAGAUUUACGCAUGGUUUGUGGAUUUCACUUGGCUAAAUCAGUAGUCUCCUUGCAGAUGAAGGCUUUUUUUUUUUUUUUUGUUUUCUCCAUCCAAUUGAUACAAGUUAAAAUGUGCAAAUUUAUCU